GAAACUUUGAGGAAAUACACGGCAAAGGCCCAAAAGGGCAACCAAGAUAUCACAAAAUGGGUUGGGCCAAAGGCCCAAACCCUUGCUUCAUGAACAAGCCCUAGUGUUGAAUUCGAGACUAAGGAAAGGAAAAAAAAGGUUGUUCAUGUUACUUAGAGGCACGCGGAUUUAGGCAAAGCAAAAAAAAUCAUGCUGACAAUUAAUGAUCAUAUUAUGGUAAAAAAAAAAAAGAAAAAAAAAAUUCAAUACUCACCGGCCACCUUAGGAGAUCUCCAUUACUUUAUGUAUUUUAUUUUUUAUUAAAAAAAAUUAAUUAUAGUUAAUGACCUUGAAAACACAAUAAUAAUAAUAAUAAAUAACAGCAAGAAAUAAACGAAUCAUAAGAAAAAAUAAAAACCCAACACUUUUAUUUUCU
rnacentral:lncRNA from 1 species